AUGUUGAAGUAUCUAUUUUUUUUUUUAAUUGUAGCGUCACAGAAGUGAAUAUUUUUUUUUAAAUUUUCGAAUCUUCAAGUUUUAAAAAUUACUUAACUUAGUUAGCUCUUCUCUAGUCCUCACUCAUAUAAAAAAUAUUUGUUUAUGGAAUGAUACUAGUUUUCUCUAUAGUUAAUUAUUAUUUUCUUAGUCAAUUUUGAGUAAACAAAAUUAAUUUAAUUUUCAUAAAUAAACCUUUUUUUUUUAAAUUAUUUAUAAUAGUCAAAUAAGUGUAGUUAAAAUAAAACAUACAUAUCAAAAUGAAAGACUUUAAAUCUGUAACUAAAUAUUUUACUAUAUUUGGUUAGGCACAUAUAGUUCUACUUUUUUAAGGCCUCAUGUACAGAAUUAUUAGGGUUAUGGACUUAACUGGAUUAUAUUACUUGGAAAAUUAAGUCUAAAUUACACCAUUACUCACGAAAUGAAGUAUUAUUUUAAACCUCUCACCAAUUUGCAUUUUAAUUUUUACCAUGUUCAUUUAAAAAACAUUAUUUUUUUUGAUCCGUUCAAAAAAGUAAAGAAGAAAAAAAAUCCGGACGUGUGAAAGUCCACAGCUUAUUAUUUUUUUUAAAUUCAAUAUAUUCUGAUAAGAAGCUACCGCUGCUGAUAACACCAAUCCAAAGGUUAGUGGCCAUCCGAAACAGAACAUAAGAAUAGGAAUGCCAAAUAAAAGAGGAAGAAAAAUAGAAAAUUACUGACUCCAUCUUCCUGAUCUCCAUCUUCCUGAUCUUCCUGAUUGUCCCGAUGGCUCUCUCUCUCUCUCAGUGUUGAAAUUUGUGAAAACAAUGGACAUUAUUUUGCAAGCACGUGCCUGACAUUAAAGAUAAAAAAGGCUAACUACGCCUCAUAAGUCAGUUUGUCAUAACUGAUUUGGUCAUAACCCGUUAAAUGCAAUGUCAACUUGGAUGUAAUCUUUCCAAUCAUAUGUUCUGAUACAACCACACUCGACCGUUAAAAGAAUAGGGGGAAGGGGAGGAAAUAACUGAAUUGAUGUGGUAUAAUGAUAACUGGACUCUUAGAUAAAAAUUAAUUAGUUUUAGUUGGAAUUAAAUUAUAUAUUUUCUUGUAUUCAAGUUGAAUGUGUUUUAGAACAAAGAUUUUCAACCUGACCCAAGUUUGGGUCAGAGGGAGUUAAUAUCACUGAAUUUAAAAUUCGGACUGAAUUACAGCUUACAAAAAAAAAUGCUGUUUUGUUCUAGACAGUAAGUUUGGCCGGAAGGGUUUAAUUUCUCUUUUACUUGAAUUAAAUUAUAUAUUUUUAAUUUAUAAUACAUGUUUCUAGAACAGAUGUUCUCAACCAAAACUUCUGUCGGAGAUGUUCUGAUACAACCACACUCGACCGUUAAGAGAAUGGGGGGGGGGAUGGGGAGAAAAUAACUGAAUCUCUUUGAAUUGUUUUGGUAUAUUUGAUAUGAUGAUUACUGGACGCUUAGAUAAAAAUUAAUUUCUCUUAGUUUCAGUGGGAAUUAAAUUAUAUAUAUUCUAGGAUUCGUGUUGAAUGGCUUUAGAACUAAGAUUCUCAACCUAUGGAUCGUGACUCAAACUUGGAUCAGAGGAGCUUAAUAUCGCUGAACUUCCAAUUUAGUCUGAUUAGAUACUUUUUUUUUAUUAAUUUAUGCUGUUUUGUUCUAGACUGUAUUUUCGCAACCAUUGGGUUUUGUUCUAAAUUUGGGUCGGAAGAAUUUAAUUUCUCUUUUACUUGAUUUAAAUUAUGUAUUUUAAAUUUAUACUACAUGUUCCUAGAACAGAGGUUCUCAACCAAAACUUCAGUCAGAGAUUUUUCUUAGUUUCCAACUUGAACUUAACAUUUUCUUGAAUUUAUUUUGUACAGCUCUAGGACAGGUUCUCAGCUUAUGGCUCUUUGAAACAGGUGACUAAAGCCUCACAAAAAUUAAGACACUUAUUUUUUGUGAUGUUAAA